rnacentral:rRNA from 1 species
AGUGAACGCUGGCGGUAGGCCUAACACGUGCAAGUCGAACGGCAGCACAGUAAGAGCUUGCUCUUACGGGUGGCGAGUGGCGGACGGGCGAGGAAUACAUCGGAAUCUACUUUUUCGUGGGGGAUAACGUAGGGAAACUUACGCUAAUACCGCAUACGACCUACGGGUGAAAGCAGGGGAUCUUCGGACCUUGCGCGAUUGAAUGAGCCGAUGUCGGAUUAGCUAGUUGGCGGGGUAAAGGCCCACCAAGGCGACGAUCCGUAGCUGGUCUGAGAGGAUGAUCAGCCACACUGGAACUGAGACACGGUCCAGACUCCUACGGGAGGCAGCAGUGGGGAAUAUUGGACAAUGGGCGCAAGCCUGAUCCAGCCAUACCGCGUGGGUGAAGAAGGCCUUCGGGUUGUAAAGCCCUUUUGUUGGGAAAGAAAAGCAGCAGGUUAAUACCCCGCUGUUCUGACGGUACCCAAAGAAUAAGCACCGGCUAACUUCGUG